rnacentral:lncRNA from 1 species
UGCCCUGAGGAUAACACUCCAGUAAAACUGAGCUCUGAGGCAUCUUUUCAGAAACCUGAGAAAUGAGAGAAUUUAACCAAAGGCGAACUUAAAAAAUUUUUUUAACGUUUAUUUAUUUUUGAAAGAGAGAGACAGAGACACAGAGAGACAGAGAGUGAGCUGAGGAUGGGCAGAGAGAGAGAGGGAGACACAGAAUCCAGAGCAGGUUUCAGGCUCCGAGCUGUCUGCACAGAGCCAGAUGCAGGGCUGGAACUCCUGAACCACGAGAUCAUGACCUGAGCUGAAGUCGGAUACUUAACCGAUUGAGCCACCUGGGUGCCCCAAACUUCUAAAGUUGUCUAAAGGAGAGUGGCUUCUGCGACGUUUGUCCAUCUGCGUGCAAUGCCAUCAUCGCGGAUCUGGGCGUGCCUGUUUGAGAGAAGGAGCUUGCUAGAAGCUGUGUAACAGACGAAGAAUUCAAAGUAGCCGAGGCAAUCCUGGAGGAAAGAGGUAGGGAGGCCAGAGAGGGGAGGAAGAGGGAGGAGGCUGUCAAGGAGACAGAAGCCUGUGAAGCUGGGUUCUGACUCCUGUCUGGGAACCAUAUCCCUCCACCAGAAGAUCCCACCCAUCGGGGUGCUUUAAAAUGUUUUUAAGUUGUUUAAAAGUGUGUUUGUUUGCUUAGAGAGAGCAAGCGGGGGAGGGACAGAGGGAGAGGCAGAGGGAGAGAAUCCCAAGCCAGCAGGUUCUGAACUAUCGGCGCAGAACCCGAGGCGGGGCUGGAAUUCACAAACCUGGAGAUCACGACCUGAGCUGAAGUCGGUUGCUUAACCGACUGAGCCGCCCAGACAUCCCAGAAAUAGGUUUCUUCUAAAUGGAGGUAAACAUUUAUCGGAAUCCUCGCUGCAAGGGAUGCAGAUGGCUAGUGUUCGAGACCUUCAUCUGCGGCGCAGGAGGAAAGGCAGUUACUGGGUUGAAUAACAAGUACCCGAAACGUCUUUGGCGUAUAGACAACGGCAUCCACACGUGUACUCGUCUGUCCACGAAGACCUGCGCAUUUACGUGCGUAGAAGUGAGGAGAUUCAAUACGUGGAUUCAGAGGAGUAUGUUUGGCUGGGUCUCUGCAUGUCUAGGCAAUGCCUGCCUGAAAACUGCCUUCUUAUGGAGAGGCUCAGUCCUUGGCCAGAUGGAGCUCUCGUCCAGCGAGUGAACCCCAAUCAUCAAUAACAGCUGUGGGCCCCAGGAGCUCCCUGCAAAAGCAGAAAUACCAGCUGAUAUGAGAAACUUCCCACUGACCGCCGUGAAAGCAAGAAAAACGAAACUGGAGUGUGAAGGUGGGGCUAAACUAUUUCUCUUACAUAUUAUUAGCAAUAACAUCAUUGUUUGAACAGGGCUUUGGAAUUGAUAAAGUGCUCUUUAUUGUAUCAUCUCGUUCAUUUGUCUUCCAAUUUGCAGAUGGAGAAACUGCUCUGCGACAGGCCACGACAGCAUCUGGAACCUUCUGUGAUCAGCUGCCAGUAUCCUUUAAUGAGAACUCGUGUGUUCCUUGAUAUCUCUCUGGGAGCAUCUCAAGGUAAGUAAGGACCUUGUGGCGGUCAGCUGGAUGACCCCUAGCUGAGUGACUGUAAUUGUUCUGACCGUUAUGGGCUCACAAACCCUUUUUUUUUUUUUUUUUAGAGAAAGGAGAUGUUCGCCAAGAUGGGAUUUUCCCAAAAGAAUUCUUUAGAAAAAGUGCCAGAACUUUUACCUUCCACCUUGACAGUCCCCAGAGACAAACUGAAAGGACCUCGCUUAAAUGCCUCAUCCGAAGGGUAUUUGCAAUGCUGGCUUCAUCAUUCAAAGCAGGAAAGGCCUUUGUCAUGGUCAAAUGGCUUUAAUGUGUUCUGAAUGCUACAUAAAUUCAAAGUUGAUGGCUCAUUUAUUUGUUGGAUUGAAGUUUUAUACAAUAAACUAAGCCUUGGUAUUUACUAAUAACUUGUG